AUGCUUGCUUUGGUAGCACAUAUACUAAAGUUGGAACAAUGGAGAGAUUGGCAUGGCCUCUGUGCAAGAAAGACAUGCAAAUUUGUGAAGCAUUCCAUAUUUUU
ensembl:snRNA U6 U6 spliceosomal RNA